rnacentral:rRNA from 1 species
UGGGGAAUAUUGCGCAAUGGGGGAAACCCUGACGCAGCGACGCCGUGUGAGGGAAGAAGGCCUUCGGGUCGUAAACCUCUGUCGGGAGGGAAGAACCGCCGGGUUCCGAACAGGGACUCGGCCUGACGGUACCUCCGAAGGAAGCGCCGGCUAACUCCGUGCCAGCAGCCGCGGUAAUACGGAGGGCGCGAGCGUUAAUCGGAAUCACUGGGCGUAAAGCGCGCGUAGGCGGCCAGAUAAGUCGGGCGUGAAAGCCCUCGGCUCAACCGAGGAACUGCGUUCGAUACUGUUUGGCUUGAGUCCUGGAGAGGGUGGCGGAAUUCCGGGUGUAGGAGUGAAAUCCGUAGAUAUCCGGAGGAACACCGGUGGCGAAGGCGGCCACCUGGACAGGUACUGACGCUGAGGUGCGAAAGCGUGGGGAGCAAACAG